ensembl:lncRNA
UUAACAGUGUAUCAGUGAAAGCAGAAAAACUUAUUCAGAAGACACAGCAGCACACCAGAACACUAACAUAACCACUGCAACAACAUAUGCCAGUUCAGAACUGCUGAAUGCAGGAUGUGGAUGGUAGCAUUUUCCAUGGCUGUGUGACGGAUGGUGCAGCGUCGGAGAUGCAGCAGCGAUGCUCUUCUAUCCUCUGUCAGACCUGCUGAGUCACUGUGUGUGCAGAGCACAGGCACAUCUAGGAAACCAUCACUUGCAUUCAUCUUAUUUGAGGAUGUUAAUGGUCCAUAUACUCUGCAAAUGUGACCUUCCUCUAUUUAACAAGCUUUUUGCUACGAUGCUCAUUUUUCCAUAACAUUGCUGCAACAUGCAUCAAUCCUUAGUUUGCACAUUUUUAUUAAAACCCCUAAAAUUAGAGCUGCAGAUUUAUAAAAUACAUGGACCUAAAUUAUUAUUUAGCAAUUCUUGAUUAUUUAUGCGCAGUAAAAUUUGAUUUGAUGCUUGUUCAAAUGAUUUAUUCUUGCACAACCUCUGGUACCUGAUGAUGAAGAUAAAUGGAAUUAUGUAUUAUUGAUGCUGUGGUUUUAAUUUAUUUACUGGCUCAGUGUGUUUGCAUGAGAGUGGCGGGCAGAUCUCAGGCUGUCUCUGAGUGUUAAAUAGUUAAAUGCUGCCGAAUGUCCAUCAGUCCUACAUGUUGAAGCAUGCAUGCCCUGCUAGUGUUAUAUUUUUUUAAUCAGGCAGGGGAUCUGGACACUGUGUUUUAUCUGGUUAUUUCACACUGAGUGAUGUUCCUUUAAAGGUUGUAUGUGACAGUAAGUGCACGCUAAAAUGGGACGUUAGCAGUAUUGGGGCACAGUGUACAGGAACCAUGCAACAUUAUAUGCUGUAGAAUGCAUCGAGCUAAAACCACGAUGGUCAGUAAACCUCAGAGCCAGCAGCAGCACAAUCUGCACACAAAGAACAUAAAACAAGUGAUGCUCUAAGUAGUGUUUUGAACACUGGGACAUGCUCAUUAGUUCACAUGAACCUGUCUGUGAGCAUAAUAUGGUUUGCCCAUCAGUGUCAGCACUGAGCAGGGCACCACGAUUUGAUCUACAAUAUUAUCUGUCCAAAGUCAUGUUCAGUGUAACACACAGUGUCACAGCACUAAUUCAUGAUUUGUGAUGACAUCAAAGACAUAUUGUACAUUUACAAGGAUAAGAACCUUUCCUUAUUGCCUUUUGUCAAACCAUUCACUGUUCGGUAUGCUAAUGAUAUUCCAGACUCACUGUAUACAUAUUCUGACACAUACUCUGAGUAAUUAUGGCUGAAUAUAACGAAAAUUUGGAAAAGGUGAUUUCCCCCCCCCCCCCUUUUUGGUAUUGUAGGUACUCUCAGCAGAGUAUGUACUGAGGCUGUAGCUCAUUCACUGCUGAAGAAGCAGGAAACCCACAAGCACAGCAAAAACUGCAGUAAUCUACUUUAGGUUGUUUCAGGUAGCGACACACAUUUGAUUUGGUGGGCCCCAAACAGUUUUGUGUAUUUUCUCCCAGGAUCAAACUUUUGCUUGACAGACAGAUGCGUAAACCACUUUGACAUGGAGCCACUAUAACUGGUUAUAGUGGAACUAGAAUUCUGAAAAAAGUCAGAAUUCUGUCCUCAAACUCGAAAUUCUGAGUUUAAACUCAGUAUUCAGAAUUCUGAGUGUUAAGUCAGAAUUCUACGAGUUAGAGUUGUUCGUGGAAUUUUUAAGAGGGAAGACAUUUCACAAACUGACUUGUUGCGCUGGCAUCCCAUUGCAGUACAAUGCUUGAAUUCGGGAGCUCUUUAGAUCAACCUGUUCUUUCACCUGAAUUCAAACAUUAACAGGUGUGGCCUAUUUUGGACCAGGUACUGAAUCUAGUGUUUAAGCGAUUCAGCUUCUCAAAAUUAUGAUAGUUGCUACAAAAUCUGAAAGUUCAUGCAUGUGGAAUUACAAAUAAAGCGAGGAGAGGCACAGAUCCACAGGACUUGCUUGCUUUAAUGUAAAAUUGUCCUUAAAGAUAUAAUAAAUAUCAAUCGAUGACGAUAAGUGAUGUGUGGCCCACCAGGUGAAAAAUAUGACAUGAAACUAAAGUGAAUCACUGUGAUUUUACUGUGUCUAUUGUCAUGCUACACUCUCACUUUUACAAUGUGGAUCCUUUGUUAUUUGUGAUGACUGAUAAAAAUUGUAGUGUGGGAUCUUUCUUUAGCUUCUGAAGGGGGGCAGGUCUGAGAACAAAAUUACUGCAGUACAGUAAGUACUCGUAGCUGCUGAUAUUUUGUCCCCCUCCUAGAUAAUCAUACCAGCAUAAGGUAGCAAGGUUUGAUCCCUAGACAGGCGUUACCAGUCCUUGCUGUUUAUGAAAUUGGUCAAAAAUCUGCACAUAAAGACAUUUUUAAACAUGGUUAACCAGCAACUCAUCACUUGAAUAAAGCAUUGUAUGUUUGUGCGAAAUUAGAAACCGUGUGUGUGUAAUCUGACUUGAGAUCAACAUUUCAUCGAUAUUGUAUUUCAACCAUUGGUGGUGCUUUUAAAAGAACUGAAUUAUGCUUUUAAGAUAAGUUAUAUUUAUAAUUUCGCACCAUGCGUUUCGAUCACACAGAACAAUGUGAUACCCUCUGGGUUGACAGCAGACAUGAAACAAUUGUACAGCUGAAUAGCAGAGCCCAAACUGCCAUUGGAUUUAUGUUUGCACAACAUACACGAAGACAACAUCGUGAAUACUGUUUCAUGAGAUUUCUGAGAGCUGUCACACUGUUAACCUCUGCAAUGUGCACACACACACUUGUGUGAAGUUAGAGGCCAUGUGUGAUUCUGGGAGUGUUGGGCUCCCACAGGUAACCGGGAGCAGGUUUUAGAUUGACUCUGGGUUGUUUCUGGUGUCGAGCAGUUGGGCUGGGAAUAGGGAGCACAAUAUUAGAAAGGUAUUCAGUUCAAUCAUCUCAAACUAUGCAAUAGAUACUGAAAUAGGUGAAGCAUUUUGAUCCUGCUUUUCUCCUCCCACAUUUACCUCUUUUUCAUCUGCUUUCAGACGUACAUUGUACAUUGUGAAAUAU